UGUGUUUUUUUCACUGUCUAAAAGUGGUCUAAAACAAGGUGUUUAUUGGUAUAAUACCUAUUAUAAGGUCUCAUGAGAUUAGAAUUGAUGAAUUUUAAAUUUCAAAAGUUGUGUGAAGUUUUGCGUAAAAUAUAAUGUGCAAAGGCUUAUUGAUUCAAUAUUAUUCUAAAGGAUUUCCAAGUAGAAAGUUCGCGAAGGUUUUCAUCAUGAGAUGGCAGGUGGACUUUCCAGCAACGCUGAGUUGCGCUUCAGGUUCGUUGAUGAGGAGGAGUUGCCGCCAGUCGUAACUAGAUGGCGCGAAAAUAGAAAAUGUUAGUGCAAUUCACACACGUGUGCAGAAAACCAAACUGUGUACAAAUAAAUGGAACUAGAAGGAGCCUGGAGAUAUAGUUUGAAGACGGGUUGUACUAAGUAAAUAACAAUAUAUUAUAAUAGAAAAAUAUGUAGUCUGUACUUACUAUAUUUAUGUUAAGUGUAUUUGGUGCAAAUGUGCAAAGCAGACUUACCUUUUAACAUUGUUACAUGAAAGCAAAAUUUCCACACAACCGUAGAUAUUAUAAGAACUUAUGGAACCAUAAUAUGAUUUCCAUAAGAUUUUCUCAAU